AUAUGAAACGUAAAAAUUUGCUUUUUCUGCCAACUCUCGAAAUCCAGAAUUUUUUCAUUUUUCAAUUCAAGACAAAACUAACACUACUUAAAAAUUGGUGUAUGUAUAUAAGGUUUAUGAAGAGGUGUUAUUCGGAUAUUUGAAUGCCAAUUAAAAAUUAAAAUUUAAAGAAUGAUGAAUUCCACUGCUGGUUCGUCCCAGAAAGUCGGAGAAAAGGUAUUUCCGCACCCUCAAGGCCUGGGGUCAUUAUCAACAAAUGUCGCCCCAGGAAUUCUCAAGUGCAUAUUGCUGCGAUGCCAGCUGGCCUAAUGAGACAUUAGCCGGGAAAAAGAAAGGGGAACGGGAUGCUGGAGAAUGGCCCUGAAAACAACACUCUGAAAAGGUAGCCAAGAGGAAAAAUCAUUUCAAAAUCCCCAAAGACACAUACCUCGAUGCCGGCCCGACUCUUGCUGUCCACAUUCGAGCUGCUGAACUCGGUGUCCUCGACGGUGUUGACCGUGUUUGUUGAGUUGCCGUCGACGAGGCCCAGAGCCCUGCCCCCGGAUCCGGCUCCAGCACCGGCACCGGCUCCGGCUCCACCAGUGCUUCCGGCCUUGGUCUUGGCCGUGGAGAAUCUGCCAAGGCGUAGACGCAGUCGAUUAAGUUUCGUAUCUGUUGCCGCACCUCCGUCCGGCUGAAAGAGAGAGACAGAUGCAAACGGGAAGAGUGAGAGGUGGCUAGAGUAUCUGGGCGAUAAAGUUUUCUAGUUGUAUCUGCAUUGAUUUUUCGCCUUUGACCCGUGUGCAUGGCUUCGAAUUAAAUUCAUACUUCUUCGCACAGCAUUAAAAUGAAUAACAAAGGCCGGCCGGCCAGAGCCGAACCAAAAUUUA